AAAAACACACUUACAGCUGGCUUGAGCAACUGGAAACAAGAUGCAGGACCCCAACGUAGACAUUGAGUGGAAUGACAUCUUACACAAAAAGGGUAUCUUACCCCCCAAGGAAAGUCUGAAAGAACUGGAAGAGGAGUCAGAUGAGGAGCAGCACAUCCUCCAGCAGUCAGUGGUGAAACAUAUGAAGAUAUGACUUUGGAAGAGCUGGAGGAUCAUGAAGAUGAGUUUAAUGAGGAGGAUGAACGUGCUAUUGAAAUGUACAGAUGGCAGAGACUGGCUGAGUGGAAAGCAACUAAACUGAAGAAUAAAUUUGGAGAAGUUUUAGAGAUCUCAGGGAAGGAUUAUGUUCAAGAAGUUACCAAAUCUGGUGAGGGCUUGUGGGUCGUCUUGCACCUUUACAAACAAGGAAUUCCCCUCUGUGCCCUGAUAAAUCAGCACCUCAGUGGACUUGCCAGGAAGUUUCCUGAUGUCAAAUUUAUCAAAGCCAUUUCAAUAACCUGCAUACCCAAUUAUCCGGAUAGGAAUCUGCCCACCAUAUUUGUUUACCUGGAAGGAGAUAUCAAGGCUCAGUUUAUUGGUCCUCUGGUGUUUGGCGGCAUGAACCUGACAAGAGAUGAAUUGGAAUGGAAACUGUCUGAAUCUGGCGCAAUUAUGACGGACCUGGAGGAAAACCCUAAGAAGCCGAUUGAAGACGUGUUGCAGUCCUCAGUGCGGUGCUCUGUCCCCGUGAGGAGGGGCAGCGGUUCCGAGGGUGACUGAGGCUACAGCUGCUAUCGCAUGCCGAACUUUCUUGUGACAAAUUGUCUGGAUUUUUUAAAAAAGGAAAAAGCAAGAAUGAAUCCUUCUGUUUUUUAGUUUUGUAUAAAUUAUGUUUCAAAUCUUUACAUUUUAGAAAUAAUCAUUGCUGGAAAUUCUGUUAAAUAUUUUGGAGCUCUUUUUUUAAAAUUAUAGUAUUUCUUCUAAAAAAAUUAAAACCAGCC